rnacentral:rRNA from 1 species
GAUGAACGCUGGCGGCGUGCUUAACACAUGCGAGUCGAACGGAAAGGCCCUGCUCUUGUGCGGUUCUCGUGUGGCGCACGGGUGAGUGACACGCGAGUAACCUGUCCUUGUCUUUGGGAUAACUUUACGAAACUGGGGCUCAUACAGGAUAGGAUCUCUUGCAGCAUGGUGGGGGUUGGUAAGAUUCGGCGGUUGGGGAUGGACUCGCGGCUUAUCCGCUUGUUUGUGAGGUAGUUGCUUUCCAGGGCUUUGACGGGUAGCCGGCAUGAGAGGGGUGCCGGCCACCUUGGUACUGCGAGACGCCGCAGAAUCGUACGGGCGGCAGCAGUGGGGAAUAUUGCACAGUGGGCGGAAGCCUGAGGUGACAGCGCCGCGUGCGGAAAGACGGCCUUCGGGUUAUAAACCACUUUGGCAUGUGACGUAGCGGGAGUGACGGUAAUGGGUAAAGAAGCACCGGCUAACUACGUG